rnacentral:rRNA from 1 species
UGUUUUAUUUCGCUAUAUAAAAUACAAUCUGCCCGGUGAUCUAGAAUUUAACGGCCGCAGUAAUUUGACUGUGCUAAGGUAGCAUAAUAGCUUGUCUCUUAAUUAGAGUCUGGAAUGAAAGAUAAAAUAAAUUCUAACUUUCCUUCUUUAAUAAAUUUAACUUUAUUACUGAGUAAAAAGGCUUAAAUGCUUAAAAAAGACGAUAAGACCCUGUGAAAUUUCAUUAAUAUAAAAUUAUGCUUGUUCCUUUAUAGAAAAACAAAUAUAAUUUUCAAAUAAUUUAGUUGGGGCGACUUUAAUUUAAACAUAAACAAUUAAAAUACUUAAUAAAUAAAUUUAAAUUUACACAGAACCUAAGUAAAGGUAAAUUGACUAAAUUACUCCAGGGAUAACAGCGUAAUUUUUUUGGAGAGUCCUUAUCAAUAAAAAAGUUUACGACCUCGAUGUUGGAUAAAGAAAUCUUGCUAGGGCAGCCCCUAGCAAAGUAAGUCUGUUCGACUUUUAAAAACUU